rnacentral:rRNA from 1 species
GACAGAGGGUGCAAACGUUGUUCGGAAUUACUGGGCGUAAAGCGUGCGCAGGCGGCCUCUUAAGUCAGAUGUGAAAUCCCCGGGCUUAACCUGGGAACUGCGUUUGAAACUGGGAGGCUUGAGUGUGGAAGAGGGGGGUGGAAUUCCAGGUGUAGCAGUGAAAUGCGUAGAGAUCUGGAGGAACACCGAUGGCGAAGGCAGCCCCCUGGGCUAACACUGACGCUCAUGCACGAAAGCGUGGGGAGCAAACAGG